rnacentral:rRNA from 1 species
UACGGGGGGGGUAAGCGUUGUUCGGAAUUACUGGGCGUAAAGGGCUCGUAGGCGGCCAACUAAGUCAUACGUGAAAUCCCUCAGCUUAACUGGGGAACUGCGUGUGAUACUGGAUGGCUUGGAUUUGGGAGAGGGAUGCGGAAUUCCAGGUGUAGCGGUGAAAUGCGUAGAUAUCUGGAGGAACACCGGUGGCGAAGGCGGCAUCCUGGACCAAUAUUGACGCUGAGGGACGAAAGCUAGGGGAGCGAACGGG